UCUUCGGAUUCCAAGUAGAGUGGCGCACGGGUGAGUAACACGUGGAUAACCUGCCCUAGAGUCCGGGAUAACACUUCGAAAGGGGUGCUAAUACCGGAUAAGCCCACGCUCUCUUCGGAGGAAGUGGGAAAAGAUUUAUUGCUCUGGGAUGGGUCCGCGGUCCAUUAGCUAGUUGGUGGGGUAAUGGCCUACCAAGGCUGCGAUGGAUAGCUGGUCUGAGAGGAUGAUCAGCCACACUGGAACUGAGACACGGUCCAGACUCCUACGGGAGGCAGCAGUGGGGAAUUUUGCGCAAUGGGGGAAACCCUGACGCAGCAAUACCGCGUGAAGGAUGAAGGCCCUUGGGUCGUAAACUUCUGUCAGAGGGGAAGAAAUACUCGCAAGAGUGCUGACGGUACCCUCAAAGGAAGCACCGGCUAACUCCGUGCCAGCAGCCGCGGUAAUACGGGAGGGUGCAAGCGUUGUUCGGAAUUAUUGGGCGUAAAGAGCAUGUAGGCGGACUGUUAAGUCUGGUGUGAAAGCCCGGGGCUCAACCCCGGAAGUGCAUUGGAUACUGGCAGUCUUGAGUAUGGGAGAGGAAAGUGGAAUUCCGAGUGUAGGAGUGAAAUCCGUAGAUAUUCGGAGGAACACCAGUGGCGAAAGGCGGCUUUCUGGACCAAUACUGAC
rnacentral:rRNA from 1 species